rnacentral:lncRNA from 1 species
AAAUAUUUAGCAAAUGUAAUCUCUGCCUCCAAACUUUCAAGCCUGGAAUACAUUUCACAGACUCUCAGAUUUGAACCCAGGCCAGAUACAUGCAUACGGAUCCUGAUUAUUUGUGUUCUUUGGCAGACAGUCUGGAGAUGUGUUAUAAUUCAGCUGUGUGCACAGUUAUUUACAGAUGUUGCUGGUGGAGUCUCCACCACCACCCAACUUUCUCCUUUCUAUUAUUGGUCUUUAUCUCCCUGGACAGUCUAGGUCAUAUCAUGCUCCCCACCCCUGGUUUUUACACUUGAUUUUAAUGUUAGUGUGUUCUCUCUGCCACAGGGAGUUGGCCUGGCUGCUACCUCUGUCUGGAAUAUUCUUCACAGGCCUUGCUCAUACCUCUUUAUCUGGGUCAGUUCCUGCUCUGCCUUUGAUGUCAACCUACUUCCUCAAGACAUCUCUUGAGGAAUGGCUGGAUGCUUAA